UACGAAGGGGGCUAGCGUUGCUCGGAAUGACUGGGCGUAAAGGGCGCGUAGGCGGCUUGGCAAGUCAGGCGUGAAAUUCCUGGGCUCAACCUGGGGGCUGCGCUUGAGACUGCUGGGCUUGAGGAUGGAAGAGGCUCGUGGAAUUCCCAGUGUAGAGGUGAAAUUCGUAGAUAUUGGGAAGAACACCGGUGGCGAAGGCGGCUCACUGGCUCGUAACUGACGCUCAGGCACGACAGCGUGGGGAUCAAACAGG
rnacentral:rRNA from 1 species